UACGAAGGGGGCUAGCGUUGUUCGGAAUCACUGGGCGUAAAGCGCACGCAGGCGGAUUGAUAAGUCAGGGGUGAAAUCCCGGAGCUCAACUUCGGAAUUGCCUUUGAUACUGUCUGUCUUGAGUCCGGGAGAGGUGAGUGGAAUUCCUAGUGCAGAGGUGAAAUUCGUAGAUAUUAGGAAGAACACCAGUGGCGAAGGCGGCUCACUGGCCCGGUACUGACGCUGAGGUGCGAAAGCGUGGGGAGCAAACAGG
rnacentral:rRNA from 1 species